rnacentral:rRNA from 1 species
UACGGAGGGUGCAAACGUUGCUCGGAAUUGUUGGGCGUAAAGCGCACGUAGGCGGCCGACUAAGUCGGGUGUGAAAGCCCAGGGCUCAACCCUGGAAGUGCACUCGAAACUGACCGGCUUGAAUAUGGAAGAGGGUCGCGGAAUUCCCGGUGUAGAGGUGAAAUUCGUAGAUAUCGGGAGGAACACCAGUGGCGAAGGCGGCGACCUGGGCCAAUAUUGACGCUGAGGUGCGAAAGCGUGGGGAGCAAACAGG